UACGUAGGGUGCGAGCGUUGUCCGGAAUUAUUGGGCGUAAAGAGCUUGUAGGUGGUUUGUCGCGUCUGCUGUGAAAAUCCGAGGCUCAACCUCGGACUUGCAGUGGGUACGGGCAGACUAGAGGUAUGCAGGGGAGAACGGAAUUCCGUGGUGUAGCGGUGAAAUGCGCAGAUAUCAGGAGGAACACCGGUGGCGAAAGGGCGGGAUUCUC
rnacentral:rRNA from 1 species